rnacentral:rRNA from 1 species
UGGGGAAUAUUGGACAAUGGGCGAAAGCCUGAUCCAGCCAUGCCGCGUGUGUGAAGAAGGUCUUCGGAUUGUAAAGCACUUUAAGUUGUGAGGAAGGGCAGUAAAUUAAUACUUUGCUGUUUUGACGUUACCGACAGAAUAAGCACCGGCUAACUCUGUGCCAGCAGCCGCGGUAAUACAGAGGGUGCAAGCGUUAAUCGGAAUUACUGGGCGUAAAGCGCGCGUAGGUGGUUCGUUAAGUUGGAUGUGAAAUCCCCGGGCUCAACCUGGGAACUGCAUUCAAAACUGACGAGCUAGAGUAUGGUAGAGGGUGGUGGAAUUUCCUGUGUAGCGGUGAAAUGCGUAGAUAUAGGAAGGAACACCAGUGGCGAAGGCGACCACCUGGACUGAUACUGACACUGAGGUGCGAAAGCGUGGGGAGCAAACAGGAUUAGAUACCCCAGUAGUCCCUGAGCGGGCUGGCAAGGCGCAU